rnacentral:rRNA from 1 species
UUCCGGUUGAUCCUGCCGGACCCCACUGCUAUCGAGGUGGGACUAAGCCAUGCUAGUCGAACGAACAGAACUAUGUCUGUAAGUGGCAUACUGCUCAGUAACACGUAGCUAACCUACCCUUAGGACGUCGAUAACCCCGAGAAAUUGGGGCUAAUAGGCGAUAGAUGUGAUGUCCUGGAAUGGUAUCACGUCUAAAGGUAUCCCAUACAUGUUUGGUAUACGCCUAAGGAUGGGGCUGCGGCCGAUCAGGCAGUUGGUGAGGUAAUGGCUCACCAAACCUUUGACCGGUACGGGCCAUGAGAGUGGUAGCCCGGAGAUGGACACUGAGACAAGGGUCCAGGCCCUACGGGGCGCAGCAGGCGCGAAACCUCCUCAAUGCACUAACGUGCGAAGGGGUUACCUCGAGUGCUACCUGAAGAAGGUGGCUUUUCCUUGGUCUAAAAAGCCUCGGGAAUAAGAGGGGGGCAAGACUGGUGUCAGCCGCCGCGGUAACACCAGCCCCUCGAGUGGUGGGGAUGAUUAUUUGGCCUAAAGCGUCCGUAGCCGGCCGGGUAAGUUUCCCGUUAAAUCCAGCGUCUCAAGCGUUGGACUGCGGGAAAUACUGCCUGGCUAGAGAGUGGGAGAGGUCAGCGGUAUUCUGGGGGUAGGGGCGAAAUCCUUUGAUCCCCGGAGGACCACCAGUGGCGAAGGCUGCUGACUAGAACACGUCUGACGGUCAGGGACGAAAGCUGGGGUAGCGAACCGGAUUAGAUACCCGGGUAGUCCCAGCUGUAAACGAUGCAUGCUAGGUGUUGGGUUGGCCACGAGCCACCCCAGUGCCGCAGGGAAGCCGUUAAGCAUGCCGCCUGGGAAGUACGAUCGCAAGAUUGAAACUUAAAGGAAUUGGCGGGGGAGCACCACCAGGCGUGAAGCCUGCGGUUUAAUUGGAGUCAACGCCGGA